ACCUUAUCCCCGCCAUAACCUUGUUCUGGUUCAUCAGUCAUCAUCACAUAUCUUCAUCUUCCUCUGUGUAAGAAGCUCUCUCUCUCCAACACAUACACGCAAACCCUCUUGCUUGGGUUCAUCUCUCAAGCAAAAUACCAUAGAGAGAGAGAGAGAGAGAGUGAAAGAGCAACGACUCAAUUCAAUUCUUCCUAGUAUUGUUUUUUUCAUAUGAAUCUCUCUCCAUUUUCAAUCACAUACACCAGAUUCAAGACUGCUUUUGCUGCUUACAAUUCACUACUCGCCAUUGCAUCCCUUCUCUCCAACCAUUAAUUCAAAUUGCCAAUCAAUUCAUUAUUGUUAGCAAUGGCGGCAGUGGCAACUCCAUUUGAGUCGCCGGCGGUGGUGGGGGUGAAGUCCAAGGAUGUAAAUUACGAUACUUUCAGGAACCCUAGGCCGGUGAGUCUCUCCUUAGAUUCCACCACCAGAAGAAGAAGAUGCGAACCCCUUUUUCCAACCACAGCUUUCAGAUUCUGCGGCCGCGGCAGACGGCGGCUUCUGCGGCGGCCCUUUGCUUUCAGUCCGACGGCAUCGUUGGGAGGGCUCUUGGGUGGGAUAUUUAAGGGCGCUGACACAGGGGAGUCCACUAGGCAGCAGUAUUCCUCAACUGUUUCUCUCGUCAAUGGGUUUGAAGCUGAGAUGUCAACCCUUUCUGAUUCCCAAUUGAGGGAGAAGACGGAAGUCUUGAAGGAACGUGCUCGCCGGGGUGAUUCUUUGGACUCUCUUUUACCUGAAACAUUUGCUGUUGUGAGAGAGGCUUCGAAAAGAGUUCUAGGACUUCGACCUUUUGAUGUUCAACUGAUAGGUGGGAUGGUUCUUCACAAGGGAGAAAUAGCUGAAAUGAGGACUGGAGAAGGAAAGACCCUGGUUGCUAUUUUGCCAGCUUAUCUGAAUGCAUUAACUGGGAAAGGAGUUCAUGUUGUCACUGUCAAUGAUUAUCUAGCACGGCGAGAUUGUGAAUGGGUUGGUCAAGUACCCCGGUUUCUUGGAAUGAAGGUUGGCCUAAUCCAACAGAAUAUGACAAGUGAACAAAGGAGGGAAAAUUACUUGUGCGACAUCACAUAUGUCACCAACAGUGAACUCGGAUUUGAUUAUUUGAGGGAUAAUCUUGCCACGAGUGUUGAUGAACUUGUGCUGAGGGGUUUCAAUUACUGUGUAAUUGACGAGGUUGAUUCCAUCCUUAUUGAUGAAGCAAGAACUCCACUUAUCAUAUCAGGACCUGCUGAAAAACCUAGUGAUCGGUACUACAAAGCUGCUAAGAUAGCUGCUGCCUUUCAGCGAGAUAUACAUUACACAGUUGAUGAGAGGCAGAAGAGCAUUUUACUCACAGAACAGGGUUAUGUGGAUGCUGAGGAAAUUCUGGAUGUCAAAGAUUUAUAUGAUCCCCGGGAACAAUGGGCAUCAUAUGUUUUGAAUGCGAUAAAAGCAAAAGAAAUUUUUCUUAGAGAUGUGAAUUAUAUUAUCCGUGGCAAGGAAGUCCUUAUUGUAGAUGAGUUUACAGGUCGAGUUAUGCAGGGGAGACGUUGGAGUGAUGGACUCCACCAGGCAGUUGAAGCAAAAGAAGGCUUGCCCAUUCAAAACGAAACUGUGACCCUGGCAUCGAUUAGCUAUCAAAACUUCUUUCUUCAGUUCCCAAAACUUUGUGGCAUGACUGGCACUGCGGCAACUGAGAGUGCAGAAUUUGAGAGUAUUUACAAACUGAAAGUUACAAUUGUGCCUACAAACAAACCCAUGAUAAGAAAGGAUGAAUCUGAUGUGGUGUUCAAGGCAACCACAGGAAAAUGGCGAGCAGCUGUGGUAGAGAUUUCUAGAAUGCACAAAACAGGUCGCCCAGUGCUUGUUGGCACGACCAGCGUUGAGCAGAGUGAUGCAUUGUCGGAACAGUUGCGUGAAGCUGGAAUCCCUCAUGAGGUUCUCAAUGCGAAACCAGAGAAUGUGGAGAGAGAAGCUGAAAUUGUAGCACAGAGUGGUCGUCUUGGGGCGGUAACAAUUGCUACCAAUAUGGCUGGUCGUGGAACUGAUAUAAUCCUUGGUGGUAAUGCAGAAUUCAUGGCAAGGUUGAAGUUACGUGAGAUGCUGAUGCCAAGAGUUGUUAAACCUGCCGAAGGAGUUUUUGUAUCUGUCAAGAAACCACCACCAAAGAAGACAUGGAAGGUAAAUGAAAACUUAUUUCCAUGCACACUUUCCAAAGACAAUACUAAGUUGGCUGAGGAAGCUGUACAGCUAGCUGUCAAAGCAUGGGGUCAGAAAUCGCUAAGUGAGCUUGAAGCGGAGGAGCGGCUAUCUUAUUGUAGUGAAAAGGGGCCUGCUCAAGAUGAAGUAAUAGCAAAGCUGCGCAAUGCUUUUCUAGAAAUUGUUACAGAAUAUAAGGUCUACACUGAGGUGGAAAGGAAGAAGGUGGUGUCAGCCGGUGGACUUCAUGUGGUGGGGACAGAACGCCAUGAGUCACGUCGAAUUGAUAAUCAGCUGCGUGGUCGAAGUGGCAGGCAAGGGGAUCCUGGAAGUUCUCGCUUUUUCCUUAGUCUUGAAGAUAAUAUCUUUCGGAUUUUUGGGGGGGAUAGAAUUCAGGGUUUGAUGAGAGCUUUUAGAGUUGAAGACCUACCAAUUGAAUCCAAUUUGCUGACAAAAGCGCUUGAUGAAGCUCAGCGGAAGGUGGAGAAUUACUUCUUUGAUAUUAGGAAGCAACUUUUUGAGUAUGACGAGGUUUUGAACAGCCAAAGAGACCGUGUAUAUACAGAGAGAAGACGAGCCCUUGAAUCUGACAAUCUCCAGUCUCUUCUUAUUGAAUAUGCUGAAUUGACAAUAGAUGACAUCUUGGAGGCAAAUAUUGGUCCUGAUGCUUCCAGGGAAAGCUGGGAUCUUGAAAAGCUCAUUGCGAAACUCCAACAGUAUUGCUAUUUGUUGAAUGAUUUGACUCCAGAUUUGCUGGUGAGCAAAUGUUCAAAUUAUGAAGAGCUGCUGGAUUACCUUCACCUUCGUGGUCGUGAUGCAUAUUUACAGAAAAGGGAUAUUGUGGAGAAACAAGCACCAGGCUUGAUGAAAGAAGCAGAGAGGUUCCUAAUUCUGAGUAACAUUGAUCGCUUAUGGAAAGAACACUUGCAAGCACUCAAGUUUGUUCAGCAAGCUGUAGGUUUACGUGGAUAUGCACAGCGGGAUCCACUCAUUGAAUAUAAGCUUGAAGGCUACAACCUUUUCAUAGAGAUGAUGGCACAGAUUAGAAGAAAUGUGAUAUAUUCAAUAUAUCAGUUUCAACCAGUGUUAGUGAAGGAUCAGGAACGACGACAACAGAAAGAGAAAUCAGGUGAGUCGGUUGCAAAUGGAAGAGGUAGUGGUAAUAAUAACCCUGGUCCUGUUGGCAUCGUUGACUCCUCUUCAGCAGUUGUCAGGCCCCAGUCUAGUGCAUGAAACUCAAAAGGAAUGGGAGCAAUGUAAAGACUAAUCUGAUUGUUUUCGAUGCCAUAAUAGAGCCUCAUGUGUUGUAUGGUACAUAUUUGUCAAAGAGUAACUAGUGUUGAAUGUAAAGAAACUAAAAGAUCAGUAAAUGAAGGUUAAACUGCUUUAUUUUGACAUUAGCUUCUUCUUGUACUCAUUUCAAGUCUUACAGGCAAUGGGACUAUAUAGACUUCAGCACAAUUGUUCAGUAACUCAGAUUAGAUUGAUGGUUGUAUUGUACACUGAAUGGCAGAACA